UCUCCCUGAAGGAAGUAUUAUAAACCCCAUCUGUGUUUUAGACAUGAGAAACCUGAGAUUUGAGCAAAUGUAAUGAGCGAAUUCCAUCUAUCAUUCUAGGUCUAGUGUUGGAUGAUGUUCCUGCCGUACUAUGCAAACUGGUCACAGGCAUCUCUUCACUUGUCGGUAGACACAUUUAGGAGCCAGACACCAAGGAUUGGCUAAAGACACAGAGCUAACUAUGAAGAGGAGCUUGGAGCUCGUGUCCUGCUGGAGGGAGGAACUGGCACGUGGACGAAGUGAUAACACAGGGAACCCAUCUUACCACAUACAGAUCUUCCUAGAAGAAUAUGCUGAUAAGAAGUACCAAUCCAAGUGGCGACGUCUCCAGCACUCUCCCAGGACCCUUGCAGAACACCUUUCCUUAUCAGCUCCUCUCCCUCUGACCUUGUCUACCACUCGGCAGUAGAAGUUCUCUUCACUUCAUGUAUCAGGUCUCUCCCUCAUUUGUCCCUCUUACUAGCUCCUGAAUUACUUAGCAGAACCAGAAACUUUGCAUCAUUCCCAUAACUAAUAUUUACACGUUUCUUUAGAUGCCCUUUCAACUAGAUUCCACUGAUACAAUCCCUGCAAUUUCCAUAACUGUCUUGAAAGCAGUGCAUUAAACUGAAAAUCAGACAAUGAAGUUGAAACUGACCUGCCUUCAAACAAUAGUGCUGUAAUGCACGCUUCCUCUGACCCUGGUGUGUUAUGUAAGUCUCUCUGCCUAUGCCUUCUGUGGUGAAAAGGUCCUUUUAGAAGGCUUGUACGGAGCAUUAUACAUGGAGUGUCUGGAAUCUAAUACGCACUCAACAAAUGCUCAUCCAAACCCUUGACUCGCCAGUCAAUUAAUCCACACGGAAGAAAGAAAAGCAAAUGAAAAUCUUUGGGGACAUAUUUUUUGUUUAAUUGUCUGCAGGGCUAAUUGUUCUGAAGUUUCCUUAUUUCCAUUGUGUAUUUUACCUGGAGAUAUACAGAAGUGAGGACUUUCCCCCCAGUUAGGUGCCAGGAGGUUUGUGAAGAUAACAACAAAUUAUAUGAGAACUUUUAAGAUGUGGCUGACUGAGAAGGAAUAAUUGUUGAUUUCUAGAUUGGUUAUUUACCUUUUGUGGCUGGUUGUUUCAAUUAAUUCACCAGUUUUAUUCAAUUAUUUGAUUCCAAAGAGUGGUUCUAAAUUAAAAACAACCAUCUUGCCUAAAAUUGUCCUUGGACAUUGAGGGCCUAACACCUUCUGGUUAUGGUUGUGUACAUGGCUGAUAUCCCAGGUACCCUUUGCCUGGUGCUCUCUCAAGUGUAAGCCUUGAUGGUUUUGCAGGCCUGAGCACCCUUUUAUCUCCAUUUUCUCAGCUGUUGCUGAUGAGUACAGAAGUUUAGUUAUUUGGCUCACGCCUGUAAUCCCAGCACUUUGGGAGGCCAACGCGGGUGGAUCACGAGGUUAGGAGUUCGAGACCAGCCUGGCCAACAUAGUGAAACCCCAUCUCUAGUAAAACUACAAAGAUAAGCCGGGCGUUGUGGCGGGCGCCUGUAAUACCAGCUACUCAGGAGGCUGAGGCAGGAGAAUUGCCUGAACCUGGGAGGCGGAGGUUGCAGUGAGCCCAGAUUGUGCCGCCACACUCCAGCCUGGGCCACAGAGUGAGACUCCGUCUCAAAAAAAAAAAAAAAAAAGGAAGUGGAUACAUAAUUUUUGCUGGCUAGGUCAUGCCUGUCUCUGCAAACAUGCAGCUAUUACAAGAUCUAGAUAUGUGAUUAGAUAUGAAAAGACCACCCCAAACAAUGGACUGUCAUACAAUCCAUAAAGGGUGCUUUAUUCAUUUUUUCCCCUUUAAUUUAACAGGAGGAGAAAAGAGCUAUGGUAGGAAUUAACUGUAAAAGUAGCUGCAAAAUAGCCAAGAUUCAGGCUAUAUAAAAUUUGCUGCAAAGAAAACCAAAAUACAGGCUGUAUAAGUAGUAACCCAGUUGUUCUACCCCAUAUGUGGGACACAAAGAGUUUGGAAGGCAAAACGUUAGAUACCUAACUCUGAAAGACAGUUCUAUGACUAUUUAGAAAAAGAUGUGUUUUUUUCUGCACUGUCUUUGCUCCUCCAACUUUUCUAAAAACUAUAAAUAUGAAUCAUUUUAUCUUGAAAACAUGCAUAUUGGUUAAAUCAAACAUCAAUAAAUCAUAAAUCCUGUCAGCCUGCCCCA
ensembl:lncRNA